UACGAAGGGUGCAAACGUUGCUCGGAAUUAUUGGGCGUAAAGCGCACGUAGGCGGCAUCGCAAGUCCCAUGUGAAAGCCCACGGCUUAACCGUGGAAGUGCAUGGGAAACUGCAGUGCUUGAGUACUUAAGAGGAUCGCGGAAUUCCCGGUGUAGAGGUGAAAUUCGUAGAUAUCAAGCGGAACACCGGUGGCGAAGGCGGCCUUCUGGACGAUGACUGACGCUGAGACGCGAAAGCGUGGGGAGCAAACAGG
rnacentral:rRNA from 1 species